rnacentral:rRNA from 1 species
UACGGGAGGCAGCAGUAGGGAAUAUUGGGCAAUGGACGCAAGUCUGACCCAGCCAUGCCGCGUGCAGGAUGAAGGCGUUAUGCGUUGUAAACUGCUUUUAUACAGGAAGAAACGACUCUUGCGAGAGGCAUUGACGGUACUGUAUGAAUAAGCACCGGCUAACUCCGUGCCAGCAGCCGCGGUAAUACGGAGGGUGCAAGCGUUGUCCGGAUUUAUUGGGUUUAAAGGGUGCGCAGGUGGUUUAUUAAGUCAGUGGUGAAAGACGGUCGCUCAACGAUUGCAGUGCCAUUGAAACUGGUAGACUUGAGUAAAGUAGAGGUGGGCGGAAUUGAUAGUGUAGCGGUGAAAUGCAUAGAUAUUAUCAAGAACUCCAAUUGCGUAGGCAGCUCACUUGGCUUUUACUGACACUCAUGCACGAAAGUGUGGGUAUCAAACCAGGAUUAGAUACCCUGGUAGUCCACACC